AUUAUCUCUGAAAGUGGCCUCAUUACAGAGAUUUAGCCAGUGGAGGAUUGCCGUCACGGCUUGAGGAAAUAUAAGUGUGGAAUUGCUUUGAUGUGCAUCAACACGCAGGAUCCUUUAAUUAGAAGGAGCAUGUACACUUUGUUUUUGUCUAUGACUCCAUAAGGAUGAUUCUCCAACUUUUAAUUAAGAUAGAGACUUCCUUCAGUCCGACCUAAAUCACAGAUUUCUCAAAACAUCACGACUUUAAGGAAGACAGGACGCCACAGUCUCCAUUCAGCUGCGGAUAGACCAGCUGCAGCUUUAUACGUGUGUGUGUGUGUGUGUGUGUGUGUGUGUGUGUGUGUGUGUGUGUGUGUGUGUGUGUGUGUAUGUGUGUGUGUGUGUGUGUGUGUGGCUGCGUGGGGGUAUAAGGACUGUCAAGGAGCUCAGCUGUGUUUGUGCGUAUGUUUAUGUGGGUGUGGAUGUAGAGGUGUGUGUGAGCUCAGCUGUGUCUGAGAGCAUUUUCAAGGCAUCGCCCGGAGCUGUGCGAGUGUGUAUUUGUGUGUGUCGCCUGGAUUCUCCCCACCAGCGACAGAGCUGGACCUGAACAACAGUGGUGAGACGGGGGACAGGGAGGGGGAGGAGGAGAAGAGGGAGGUGAAAGGAACCAGCAGGACGGAGAAGAGGAAAAAACUGACAACAUGCUUGGAUAAAGAGAAGAAAGACAGGAGUUUUUGGCUGCCCCCCUGGUGCAAUGUGUGGCGUGGUGCCCUGUGGAGGUGGGGUUCUUUGAUGGUAACCAUGGUCCCCGGCAGCCGCUAUAUCUGCAGCGCUCACGCUAGAGAGGAAGACGCCCCGAACGACCGCGAGGAGAGAGUUUUAGCCGUGCUGGGCAUCAUCGGAACCAUCCUCAAUCUUUUAGUGGUCAUAUUUGUCUACAUCUACACCUCCGUCACUUGAGGUUUUCUGCAAGAAGUUGAGCGAGAGCCAUCAGCUCUGUCACCAACUUUUCUCUGCACUGCCACCCUCGUCUUUAAGUAGUUAUACACGUAACAGGGUUUGAUUGUUUAGAGUGUGCAGAAAGAUGUGCAGAUCAUUGGCAGUGUGUUCAGAUGUAUAGUAGCCAUAUUUAUCUACACCUGCAUCACUGCUUAUCUCUGCUCUGUUACCUAAAGACUGCUGCCAAUCACAGAGCAGGAGCUGCAGGUGGAAUUAUCUGCAUCUUGCCAUUUUUUCAAAACAAUUUCCCACAUCCACAUGUCCAAUGACUGUUAACAGUGUGUCCACUGUGGUAAUGGUCAUAUGUCUCUGUAUUCAUAUAACGGGGACAAAAGACAAGUGUCUUCGAUCUCAUGAUGGUCAUAUUUGACUGUGUUGCCUCUUCCACUUUGUCACAUAACAUGUAAAAGUCUUUCAACAAUCAAGCUCUUCUGUGACAUUUAAGAUAUUAUCACUGCCAGUUAAAACUAAAUGGUUUGACAAACAAUGCACCGUUGAGUUAAUUUGACCAAAUGAGUAGAUUAGAUAGAGAUUAGUAGUUAUGUAGUACACUGCCAACACUAUUAAAAGGGACCAAACCUGCCAAGUGAAUUAUUAACAGAGAAACCCAUACGACUCGUGAGCACAAAUACACAGAUAAUCAAUCUCACCCACUGCUCAAUACCAGUUUCUGUAGUCAGUAGAGUGACUGAAAAAGAUUUACAUGGACCUAACGUGUCCACACCUGAGCACCCCAGAGGAGAGAUUCCUGGCUGUGCUGGGAGUGAUCGGCAUCGUACUAAACGUCCUGCUGCUCAUCUUCAUCUAUAUAUACACCUCAAUUUGAUUUAUGUGCCUGAACACAUUAUCAACUAUGAGAUAAUCUUGCCACACUUUACAGCACCUGAACCUUAGAAUAUGUUGUUCAACUACACCUGUAUAUAUUGUACCUAAACACAACCUGGUUCAUAGCUGAUGUCAGAACUAUAUGAUAUUCUAGGCAGGUUUCUGUGCCUAUAAUAUAGUGUUACUAUAGAAACUAGAGGCAAAAGCCACCCAGAGAUUUUUCCAUAGAAUAAUUUAAAAUAGAAAUACACUUUAAAAAUAUGUGUCGUACAGUUGGUGUUUUUGUAUUUAUUGUAUUUCACAUGUGUGCAUGAUGAGAUGUUUACUUAGGCUUGUACCACUAUAAUCUCUCUCACGAUCUGACCAACAUACCUGAUGUAAAGACUGCCAUUUCUUACAGUUCUUCUGUCUUUUCUACAUGCUUAUU
ensembl:lncRNA